GACGAACGCUGGCGGCGUGCUUAACACAUGCAAGUCGAACGGAAAGGCUCCAGCUUGCUGGAGUACUCGAGUGGCGAACGGGUGAGUAACACGUGGGUAAUCUGCCCUGCACUCUGGGAUAAGCCUGGGAAACUGGGUCUAAUACUGGAUAUGACCUUUCUCCUUAUGGGGUUUGGUGGAAAGUUUUUCGGUGUAGGAUGAGCCCGCGGCCUAUCAGCUUGUUGGUGGGGUGAUGGCCUACCAAGGCGACGACGGGUAGCCGGCCUGAGAGGGUGAUCGGCCACAUUGGGACUGAGAGACGGCCCAGACUCCUACGGGAGGCAGCAGUGGGGAAUAUUGCACAAUGGGCGGAAGCCUGAUGCAGCGACGCCGCGUGAGGGAUGACGGCCUUCGGGUUGUAAACCUCUUUCAGCAGGGACGAAGCGUAAGUGACGGUACCUGCAGAAGAAGCACCGGCUAACUACGUGC
rnacentral:rRNA from 1 species